GAUGAACGCUGGCGGCGUGCCUAAUACAUGCAAGUCGAGCGAACAGAUAAGGAGCUUGCUCCUUUGACGUUAGCGGCGGACGGGUGAGUAACACGUGGAUAACCUACCUAUAAGACUGGGAUAACUUCGGGAAACCGGAGCUAAUACCGGAUAACAUAUUGAACCGCAUGGUUCAAUAGUGAAAGGCGGCUUUGCUGUCACUUAUAGAUGGAUCCGCGCCGUAUUAGCUAGUUGGUAAGGUAACGGCUUACCAAGGCAACGAUACGUAGCCGACCUGAGAGGGUGAUCGGCCACACUGGAACUGAGACACGGUCCAGACUCCUACGGGAGGCAGCAGUAGGGAAUCUUCCGCAAUGGGCGAAAGCCUGACGGAGCAACGCCGCGUGAGUGAUGAAGGUCUUCGGAUCGUAAAACUCUGUUACCAGGGAAGAACAAAUGUGUAAGUAACUGUGCACAUCUUGACGGUACCUGAUCAGAAAGCCACGGCUAACUACGUG
rnacentral:rRNA from 1 species